GCCAUGCAGUCGAAUGGGAUACCUAAAUUUCCCAUGGCGAACUGCUCAGUAACACAUGAUCAACUUGCCCUAUAGAGAGAAAUAACCUCGGGAAACUGAGGAUAAUUUUUCAUAGUUGAAUUGGCUUGGAAAAGUUUUUCAAUAAAAAGGAUAAAGAAAAUGGUCUUUAUUCGCUAUAGGAUAGGAUCGUGUUCGAUUAUGGUAGUUGGUGAGGUAAAGGCUCACCAAGCCGAUAAUCGAUAGGGGCCGUGAGAGCGGGAGCCCCGAGAUGGGUACUGAGACAACGACCCAGGCCUUACGAGGCGCAGCAGGCGCGAAACCUCCACAAUACACGAAAGUGUGAUGGGGUUACCCAAAGUGUUCAUUAUUGAACUGUGGUAGGUGAGUAAUGUUCCCUACUAGAAAGGAGAGGGCAAGGCUGGUGCCAGCCGCCGCGGUAAAACCAGCUCUUCAAGUGGUCGGGAUAAUUAUUGGGCUUAAAGUGUCCGUAGCCGGUUUAGCAAGUUCCUGGUAAAAUCGGGUAGCUUAACUAUCUAUAUGCUAGGAAUACUGCUAUACUAGAGGGCGGGAGAGGUCUGAGGUACUACAGGGGUAGGGGUGAAAUCUUAUAAUCCUUGUAGGACCACCAGUGGCGAAGGCGUCAGACUGGAACGCGCCUGACGGUGAGGGACGAAAGCCAGGGGAGCGAACCGGAUUAGAUACCCGGGUAGUCCUGGCUGUAAACGAUGCAUACUAGGUGAUGGCACGGCCAUGAGCCGUGUCAGUGCCGUAGGGAAACCGUUAAGUGUGCCGCCUGGGAAGUACGGUCGCAAGGCUAAAACUUAA
rnacentral:rRNA from 1 species